GAUGAACGCUGGCGGCGUGCCUAAUACAUGCAAGUCGAGCGAACGGACAAGGAGCUUGCUCCUUUGAAGUUAGCGGCGGACGGGUGAGUAACACGUGGGUAACCUACCUAUAAGACUGGAAUAACUCCGGGAAACCGGGGCUAAUGCCGGAUAACAUGUUGAACCGCAUGGUUCAACAGUGAAAGACGGUCUUGCUGUCACUUAUAGAUGGACCCGCGCCGUAUUAGCUAGUUGGUGGGGUAACGGCCUACCAAGGCGACGAUACGUAGCCGACCUGAGAGGGUGAUCGGCCACACUGGAACUGAGACACGGUCCAGACUCCUACGGGAGGCAGCAGUAGGGAAUCUUCCGCAAUGGGCGAAAGCCUGACGGAGCAACGCCGCGUGAGUGAUGAAGGUCUUCGGAUCGUAAAGCUCUGUUGUUAGGGAAGAACAAAUGUGUAAGUAACUGUGCACGUCUUGACGGUACCUAACCAGAAAGCCACGGCUAACUACGUGCCAGCAGCCGCGGUAAUACGUAGGUGGCAAGCGUUAUCCGGAAUUAUUGGGCGUAAAGCGCGCGUAGGCGGUUUUUUAAGUCUGAUGUGAAAGCCCACGGCUCAACCGUGGAGGGUCAUUGGAAACUGGAAAACUUGAGUGCAGAAGAGGAAAGUGGAAUUCCAUGUGUAGCGGUGAAAUGCGCAGAGGUAUGGAGGAACACCAGUGGCGAAGGCGGCUUUCUGGUCUGCAACUGACGCUGAUGUGCGAAAGCGUGGGGAUCAAACAGGAUUAGAUACCCUGGUAGUCCACGCCGUAAACGAUGAGUGCUAAGUGUUAGGGGGGUUUCCGCCCCUUAGUGCUGCAGCUAACGCAUUAAGCACUCCGCCUGGGGAGUACGGUCGCAAGACUGAAACUCAAAGGAAUUGACGGGGACCCGCACAAGCGGUGGAGCAUGUGGUUUAAUUCGAAGCAACGCGAAGAACCUUACCAAAUCUUGACAUCCUUUGACCGCUCUAGAGAUAGUGUUUUCCUCUUCGGAGGACAAAGUGACAGGUGGUGCAUGGUUGUCGUCAGCUCGUGUCGUGAGAUGUUGGGUUAAGUCCCGCAACGAGCGCAACCCUUGAGCUUAGUUGCCAUCAUUAAGUUGGGCACUCUAAGUUGACUGCCGGUGACAAACCGGAGGAAGGUGGGGAUGACGUCAAAUCAUCAUGCCCCUUAUGAUUUGGGCUACACACGUGCUACAAUGGACAAUACAAAGGGCAGCGAAACCGCGAGGUCAAGCAAAUCCCAUAAAGUUGUUCUCAGUUCGGAUUGUAGUCUGCAACUCGACUACAUGAAGCUGGAAUCGCUAGUAAUCGUAGAUCAGCAUGCUACGGUGAAUACGUUCCCGGGUCU
rnacentral:rRNA from 1 species